rnacentral:rRNA from 1 species
AUUGAACGCUGGCGGCAUGCCUUACACAUGCAAGUCGAACGGCAGCACGGGGGCAACCCUGGUGGCGAGUGGCGAACGGGUGAGUAAUGCAUCGGAACGUGUCCUCUUGUGGGGGAUAACCAGUCGAAAGAUUGGCUAAUACCGCAUGAGAUCGAAAGAUGAAAGCGGGGGACCGCAAGGCCUCGCGCGAGAGGAGCGGCCGAUGCCGGAUUAGCUAGUUGGUGGGGUAAAAGCCCACCAAGGCGACGAUCCGUAGCUGGUCUGAGAGGACGACCAGCCACACUGGGACUGAGACACGGCCCAGACUCCUACGGGAGGCAG